GAUGAACGCUGGCGGCAUGCCUAGCACAUGCAAGUCGAUCGGUAAGGCUCUUCGGAGUACACGAGAGGCGGACGGCUGAGUAACGCGUAGGAACACACCCUGCAGUGAGGGAUAAGACACCGAAAGGUGUUCUAAUACCGCAUACGGUCUUCGGAUUAAAGCAUUUAUGCGCUGAAGAAGUGGCCUGCGUCAUAUUAGAUAGUUGGUGAGGUAAUGGCUCACCAAGUCGAUGAUGUGUAGCUGGUCUGAGAGGAUGAUCAGCCAGACUGGAACUGAGACACGGUCCAGACUCCUACGGGAGGCAGCAGUGAGGAAUAUUUCACAAUGAGCGAAAGCUUGAUGGAGCAAUGCCGCGUGCAGGAUGAAGGCCCUCGGGUUGUAAACUGCUUUUAUAAGAGAAGAUUAUGACGGUAACUUAUGAAUAAGGGACGGCUAACUACGUG
rnacentral:rRNA from 1 species